rnacentral:rRNA from 1 species
AUUGAACGCUGGCGGCAGGCUUAACACAUGCAAGUCGAGCGAGCGGCGGACGGGUGAGUAAUGUUUGGGGAUCUAGCCUAUGGAGGGGGAUAACUACGGGAAACUGUGGCUAAUACCGCAUACCAUCGGAUGAACCCAAGUGGGAUUAGCUAGUAGGUGGGGUAAAGGCUCACCAAGGCGACGAUCUCUAGCUGGUCUGAGCGGAUGACCAGCCACACUGGGACUGAGACACGGCCCAGACUCCUCCGGGAGGCAGCAGUGGGGAAUAUUGCGCAAUGGGGGCAACCUGACGCAGCCAUGCCGCGUGUAUGAAGAAGGCCUUAGGGUUGUAAAGUUCUUUCGGUGGCGAGGCGUUACCUGCAGAAGAAGCACCGGCUAACUCCGUGCCAGCCGCCGCGGUAAUAC